rnacentral:rRNA from 1 species
CCUACGGGAGGCUGCAGUCGAGAAUCAUUCACAAUGGGGGAAACCCUGAUGGUGCGACGCCGCGUGGGGGAAUGAAGGUCUUCGGAUUGUAAACCCCUGUCAUGUGGGAGCAAAUUAAAAAGAUCGUACCACACGAGGAAGAGACGGCUAACUCUGUGCCAGCAGCCGCGGUAAUACAGAGGUCUCAAGCGUUGUUCGGCAUCACUGGGCGUAAAGCGUGCGUAGGCUGUUUCGUAAGUCGUGGGUGAAAGGCGCGGGCUCAACCCGCGGACGGCACAUGAUACUGCGAGACUAGAGUAAUGGAGGGGGAACCGGAAUUCUCGGUGGAGCAGUGAAAUGCGUAGAUAUCGAGAGGAACACUCGUGGCGAAGGCGGGUUCCUGGACAGUAACUGACGCUGAGGCACGAAGGCCAGGGGAGCGAAAGGGAUUAGAUACCCCUGUAGUC